CAACUAGUUACGACAACAUACUCAACAAUACACACAAAAAUUUCAAUCUCAUAACUUUACAUUAUUUCAUCCGAAAUCAAGGUAUAUAGAGCAAACAUGGCUGCUUGCAAAGUUGGUUUCUUCACCGUCCUCCUUGUGUGUGGUAUUUUUUUAUUGGGAAGUAAUGUGGAGCUUGGAAAUGCUCAGAUUUGCCCCCAGGUCUGUGAUCCUAAAGCAGCCUAUAUGAUCUGCCCACCUAAUAACAGAAGGACUGAGCCAGUUUGUAGAAAUUGUUGUCAAGUUGCAAACAACGGCUGUCAACUCUUCGAUUCCAAUGAUUCACCCCUUUGCUAGGUCUUUUGCAAGGUUGUAUCACCCUAAAUGUUUAAAUCAAGUAAUCUCAACGAUAAUAAUAAUAAUGUCUCAAUCAUCAAUAUAAUGUAGAUGAAAUAAGAUUGUAAGACUCUUUUGAAUAACUAUGCAUGGGGGUGAGACUACUAGUAUAGUCUAUUACCUUCAUUGUAAUCAAACCUCACUAUUGUAGUGUGGUUUUAUUGUUGUUAAAUGUGAACUUGUUGGGUUGUUAUUACUUUUGUUUGAAUGCGA